rnacentral:rRNA from 1 species
CCUACGGGAGGCAGCAGUAGGGAAUCUUUCACAAUGGGCGAAAGCCUGAUGGAGCAACGCCGCGUGCAGGAUGAAGGCCUUCGGGUUGUAAACUGCUUUUAUAAGCGAGAAAUAUGAUGGUAACUUAUGAAUAAGGAUCGGCUAACUACGUGCCAGCAGCCGCGGUCAUACGUAGGAUCCGAGCAUUAUCCGGAGUGACUGGGGGUAAAGAGUUGGGUAGGUGGCAGAAUAAGUAGCUAGUGAAAUCUGGUGGCUCAACCAUUCAGACUAUUAGCUAAACUGUUAAGCUCGAGACCGUUAGGGGUAACUGGAAUUUCUAGUGUAGGAGUGAAAUCCGUAGAUAUUAGAAGGAACACCAAUAGCGUAGGCAGGUUGCUGGGACGGUUCUGACACUAAGGCACGAAAGCGUAGGGAGCAAACGGGAUUAGAUACCCUGGUAGUC